GGGAGGAAAAGAAACUAACAAGGAUUUUCUUAGUAGCGGCGAGCGAAAAGAAAAUAGUUCAGCACUAAGUCACUUUGUCUUAAUGGCAAAUGUGAGAUGCAGUGUAUGGAAUGUCAAAUUUCUAGUAUGAGAAAUUAACGAUUUAAGUCCUUCUUAAAUGAGGCCAUUUACCCAAAGAGGGUGCCAGGCCCGUAUAACGUUAAUGAUUACUAGAUGGCAUUUCCAAAGAGUCGUGUUGCUUGAUAGUGCAGCACUAAGUGGGUGGUAAACUCCAUCUAAAACUAAAUAUAACCAUGAGACCGAUAGUAAACAAGUACCGUGAGGGAAAGUUGAAAAGAACUCUGAAUAGAGAGUUAAAUAGUACGUGAAACUGCUUAGAGGUUAAGCCCGAUGAACCUGAAUAUCCGUUAUAGAAAAUUCAUCAUUAUGAUUUUAAUAUUUAUAAUAUUAUAAUAAUGGUGUGCAUUUUUUCUAUAAAUGGACAUUGUAAUCUAUUAACAUGCAUAAAUUUAUCAUAAGAUCAAGAUACGAAGUUUAUUCAAAUUAUUUUGCUUGCAAUUUAACAUAGAAUAAACGUUCUUGAUUGGAUAAAGUGUUGAUAGAUUUAUUAUAUAUAGUGCUUAAAUAUUUAUAUUUUAUAAUAGCAUAUUAAUCAUUGAUUUUUAUGUUUAUUAUAUGCACUUAUAUGAUUAACAAUGCGAAAGAUUCAGGAUACCUUCGGGACCCGUCUUGAAACACGGACCAAGGAGUCUAACAUAUUUGCAAGUUAUUGGGAAUAAAAACCUAAUAGCGAAAUUAACAUAACUUAUAUAAUGGGAUUAAUUUUUAGCCUAUUUAUAGUCUAUUAAUUCAAUCCCGGGGCGUUCUAUACAGUUAUGUAUAAUAAUAUUUAUAUUAUUUAUACCUCUAACUAGAGCGUACCUUGAGCAUAUAUGCUGUGACCCGAAAGAUGGUGAACUAUACUUGAUCAGGUUGAAGUCAGGGGAAACCCUGAUGGAAGACCGAAACAG
rnacentral:rRNA from 1 species